rnacentral:rRNA from 1 species
AGAGUUUGAUCCUGGCUCAGGACGAACGCUGGCGGCGUGCCUAAUACAUGCAAGUUGAGCGCUGAGGGUUGGUACUUGUACCGACUGGAUGAGCAGCGAACGGGUGAGUAACGCGUGGGGAAUCUG